rnacentral:snRNA from 1 species
AUCGCUUCUCGGCCUUUUGGCUAAGAUCAAGUGUAGUAUCUGAGUGCAGAGGCAGGAGUGACCUCUGUGCAUCACCGGGUGUGACCAAAA